rnacentral:rRNA from 1 species
UAAAGCGCGCGUAGGUGGCUUGAUAAGCCGGUUGUGAAAGCCCCGGGCUCAACCUGGGAACGGCAUCCGGAACUGUCAAGCUAGAGUGCAGGAGAGGAAGGUAGAAUUCCCGGUGUAGCGGUGAAAUGCGUAGAGAUCGGGAGGAAUACCAGUGGCGAAGGCGGCCUUCUGGACUGACACUGACACUGAGGUGCGAAAGCGUGGGUAGCAAACAGGAUUAGAUACCCCUGGUAGUCCACGCCGUAAACGAUGUCGACCAGCCGUUGGGUGCCUAGCGCACUUUGUGGCGAAGUUAACGCGAUAAGUCGACCGCCAGGGGAGUACGGCCGCAAGGUUAAAACUCAAAUGAAUUGACGGGGGCCCGCACAAGCGGUGGAGCAUGUGGUUUAAUUCGAUGCAACGCGAAAAACCUUACCUACUCUUGACAUCCUGCGAAUUCGGUAGAGAUACCUUAGUGCCUUCGGGAACGCAGAGACAGGUGCUGCAUGGCUGUCUUCAGCUCGUGUUGUGAAAUGUUGGGUUAAGUCCCGUAACGAGCGCAACCCUUGUCCUUAUUUGCCAGCGCGUAAUGGCGGGAACUCUAAGGAGACUGCCGGUGACAAACCGGAGGAAGGUGGGGACGACGUCAAGUCAUCAUGGCCCUUACGAGUAGGGCUACACACGUGCUACAAUGGUCGGUACAAAGGGUUGCGAGCUCGCGAGAGUCAGCCAAUCCCGAAAAGCCGAUCUCAGUCCGGAUCGGAGUCUGCAACUCGACUCCGUGAAGUCGGAAUCGCUAGUAAUCGUAGAUCAGAAUGCUACGGUGAAUACGUUCCCGGG